UACGUAGGGUGCAAGCGUUGUCCGGAAUCAUUGGGCGUAAAGCGCGUGUAGGCGGCUCGAUAAGUCUGCUGUGAAAGUCCAGGGCUCAACCCUGGGAUGCCGGUCGAUACUGCGAAGCUAGAGUACGGAAGAGGCGAGUGGAAUUCCUGGUGUAGCGGUGGAAUGCGCAGAUAUCAGGAGGAACACCAAUAGCGAAGGCAGCUCGCUGGGACGUUACUGACACUAAGGCGCGAAAGCGUGGGGAGCGAACAGG
rnacentral:rRNA from 1 species